rnacentral:tRNA from 1 species
GGGCUAGUGGGGCAAUGGAAAACACGUCUGAUUACAGAUCAGAAGACUUUAGGUUCAACUCCUGGCUAGCUCA